rnacentral:tRNA from 1 species
UAGUUCAGUGGUAGAGUGCUUGCCUAGUGUGCAUGAAGCCCUGGGUGCAAUUCCCAG